rnacentral:rRNA from 1 species
UGCGGCCAAGCUGGAAAGAGCGUGUGGGGGAUGCCUUGGCGCCAGGAGGCGAAGAAGGGCGUGCAAGACUGCGAAAAGUCCGGGGGAGCUGUCAAAGGAGCAUUGAUCCUGGAAUACCCGAAUGAUCGCAUGCUGAAUCCAUAGGCAUGCGAGGCGAACGCGGCGAACUGAAACAUCUCAGUAGCUGCAGGAAGAGAAAGAAACCUCGAUUCCGUCAGUAGCGGCGAGCGAAAGCGGAAGAGCCCAAACCGGCCGGGCAUGCCCGACCGGGGUAGUAGGACCGAUGUGAAGACCGAUGAGACCUAGUCGAACCCGCUGGGAAGCGGGACCAGAGAGGGUGACAGUCCCGUAGGCGACAGGUUGAGUUGGCUGAGUCGGCACCUGAGUAGGACCAGACACGUGAAAUCUGGUCUGAAUCCGCGGGGCCCAUCCCGCAAGGCUAAAUACUCCCUGGCGACCGAUAGUGAACCAGUAGCGCGAGCGAAAGGUGGAAAGAAUCCCGGGAGGGGAGGACAUUGACCCUGAAACCACAUGCUUACAAGCGGUCGGAGCCCAGUGACGCAAGUCCGGGUGACGGCGUGCCUUUUGCAUAAUGAUCCGGCGACUUGCUGUUACCGGCCAGAUUAAUCCGUUGUGCGGAGGAGUCGAAGCGAAAGCGAGUCUGAACAGGGCGAGGAAGUCGGUGGCAGCAGACGGGUCCGAACUCACUAGUGUUGAAAAACUAGGGGAUGACCUGUGUGGAGGAUUGAAAGUAUCAUCAAACGUGGAGAUAGCUCGUUCUCUCCGAAAUAACUCUAGGGUUAGCGUCGUGGUAGUUGGCAUGGGGGGUAGAGCGACUGAAUGCGCUGGGGGGCCUACCCGGCUACCCCUCGCAACCAAACUCCGAAUACCCAUGUACAAGCUACGGCAGUUAGACGGCGAGGGAUAAGCUUCGUCGUCGAGAGGGGAACAACCCAGACCGUCCGCUAAGGUCCCCAAGAGCCACUCAGUGCGAAAGGAAGUGGAAUUCCGAUGACAGCCAGGAUGUUGGCUUAGAAGCAGCCACCAUUUAAAAAGUGCGUAAUAGCUUACUGGUCGAGGAGUUCCGCGCCGAUAAUGAACGGGACUAAGUGGUUCACCGAAGCGGGCGCCAGUGAUAAUGCCGGAACGAGUAACGCUAAAACGGGUGAGAAUCCCGUUCGCCGAAAACCCAAGGAUUCCUGGGGAAGGUCAUUCCGCCCAGGGUUAGCCGGACCCUAAGACGAGGCCGAGAGGCGUAGUCGAUGGAAAGCAGGUUGCCAUUCCUGCGCCGGUCCUGAAGGUUGAGCCUGCGUGACGCUGGACGGAGUUCACGAGGGGGGCUGGAUCCCCGUGGUGGAUGAAGUGCAGCCGAGAAAAGCCGCAUGGUGACGACAGGAUCGUCCGUACCAAUAUCCGACACAGGUGGGUGAGAUGAAGAUUCUCAGGCGCGCGAGAGAACGCUCGUGAAGGAACUCGGCAAUUUAGCCCCGUAACUUCGGGAGAAGGGGCGCCCCCGCGAGGGGGCCGCAGUGAAAGGGAUCUGGCGACUGUUUAUCAAAAACACAGGACUCUGCGAACUCGCAAGAGGAUGUAUAGAGUCUGACGCCUGCCCGGUGCUGGUAGGUUAAGGAAGAGGGUUAGCCGCAAGGUGAAGCCAGCAACCGAAGCCCCAGUAAACGGCGGCCGUAACUAUGACGGUCCUAAGGUAGCGAAGUUCCUUGUCGGGUAAGUUCCGACCUGCAUGAAUGGCGUAACGACCGGAUCACUGUCUCCACGAGCGACUCGGUGAAACUGUAGUUGUUGUGAAGAUGCAACAUACCCGCGAUUAGACGGAAAGACCCCGUGAACCUUUACUGCAGCUUAGUAUUGGGUUUAGGCCCGGCAUGCGUAGCGUAGGUGGGAGGUUAUGAAGCAGGCGUCCAGGCGCUUGUGGAGCCGACCAAUGAAACACCACCCUUGCCGUGCUUGAAUUCUAACCCCGACCCGUGAAUCCGGGCGGCGGACAGUGCUAAGUGGGCAGUUUGACUGGGGCGGUCUCCUCCCAAAGAGUAACGGAGGAGCCCCAAGGUACCCUCAGCCCGGUCGGCAAUCGGGCAUCGAGCGCAAUGGUAGAAGGGUGCUUGACUGCAAGACGCAUACGUCGAGCAGGUGCGAAAGCAGGGCAUAGUGAUCCGGCGGUGCUGGAUGGAAAGGCCGUCGCUCAACAGAUAAAAGGUACUCCGGGGAUAACAGGCUUAUCUCCUCUGAGCGUCCAUAGCGGCGAGGAGGUUUGGCACCUCGAUGUCGGCUCAUCGCAUCCUGGGGGUGGAGAAGCUCCCAAGGGUUUGGCUGUUCGCCAAUGAAAGCGGUACGUGAGCUGGGUUCAGACCGUCGUGAGACAGGUCGGUCCCUAUCUGUCGUGGGCGUAGGAAUCUUGAGCAGUUUUCUCCCUAGUACGAGAGGAUUGGGAGGGACGCACCUCUGGUGUCCCUGUUGUCGUGCCAACGGCAUGGCAGGGUAGCCACGUGCGGUCAGGAUAAACGCUGAAAGCAUCUAAGCGUGAAACCUUCUGCAAGACGAGGAUUCCAGUCGCAAGACACAGGCCCCUGGAAGACUACCAGGUUGAUAGGAUGGGCGUGCAAGGCGGGCAACCGCUUCAGCUUACCAUUACUAAUGGCCUAUCGCUUCGCC